AACGCACCUUGCGCCCUUUGGUAUUCCGAAGGGCAUGCCUGUUUGAGUGUCAUUAAAUUCUCAACUUCAAAAGCUUUGUCUUUUUGAAGCUUGGAUGUGAAGGCUUGCUGGCGUUUUAAAUGUUCAGCUCCUUUGAAAUGCAUUAGUGGACCCAUUUGUGUUCAGCCUUAGUGUGAUAAUUAUCUACGCUAUUAUGGUUUUUGAAUGCUAGCUCAUUAGAACUUCAAAGUGUUUCAUACAUUUUUGGUGUGGGGAGUUGCACUAAACAUCUGCUCUCUCUGUCUAUUGAGUUUGGUUUGUCUGCUUCUAACCGUCUCUCACUGCAUGUGGACAACUUUUGAACCAUUUGACCUCAAAUCAGGUAGGACUACCCGCUGAACUUAA
rnacentral:misc_RNA from 1 species